AAGACCUUUAACACACAGUCCCGUGAGGCUGAGAAGGUAACGGAUCGCAUGCAGGAGGAGCCUUGUUUCUUCUUCGCAUGCUUGCAUGAACGCACCCUCUCGUCUUUCGGCGAGAGGAUUUUUUUAU
rfam:Bacillus badius strain MTCC 1458 Contig1, whole genome shotgun sequence.